GGGGAAUCUUGCACAAUGGGGGAAACCCUGAUGCAGCGAUGCCGCGUGAGUGAAGAAGGCCCUUGGGUUGUAAAACUCUUUCGUCGGGGAAGAAAAUGACUGUACCCGAAUAAGAAGGUCCGGCUAACUUCGUGCCAGCAGCCGCGGUAAUACGAAGGGACCUAGCGUAGUUCGGAAUUACUGGGCUUAAAGAGCUCGUAGGUGGUUAAAAAAGUUGAUGGUGAAAUCCCAAGGCUCAACCUUGGAACUGCCAUCAAAACUUUUUAGCUAGAGUGUGAUAGAGGUAAGUGGAAUUUCUAGUGUAGAGGUGAAAUUCGUAGAUAUUAGAAAGAACACCAAAUGCGAAGGCAACUUACUGGGUCACUACUGACACUGAGGAGCGAAAGCAUGGGUAGCGAAG
rnacentral:rRNA from 1 species